AAUGUACUCCCUCCAUCCAAAAAUUCUUUUCUUAGAUUUGUCUAGAUACGGAUGUAUCUAACACUAAAAUGUAACUAGAUACAUCCGUAUUUAGACAAAUCUAAGACAAGAAUUUUGGGACGGAGGGAGUACUUG
rnacentral:pre_miRNA from 1 species